rnacentral:rRNA from 1 species
AUUGAACGCUGGCGGCGUGCUUAACACAUGCAAGUCGAGCGGUAACAGGCGUAGCAAUACGUGCUGACGAGCGGCGAACGGGUGCGUAAUACAUGGGAAUCUGCCCUUUGGUGGGGAAUAACCCGGCGAAAGCCGGGCUAAUGCCGCAUGAGAUCUGCGGAUGAAAGCGGGGGAUCGUAAGACCUCGCGCCGAUGGAUGAGCCCAUGUCGGAUUAGCUAGUUGGUAGGGUAACGGCUCACCAAGGCGACGAUCCGUAGCUGGUCUGAGAGGACGGCCAGCCACACUGGGACUGAGACACGGCCCAGACUCCUACGGGAGGCAGCAGUGGGGAAUAUUGGACAAUGGGCGAAAGCCUGAUCCAGCGACGCCGCGUGUGUGAAGAAGGCCUGCGGGUUGUAAAGCACUUUCGAUGGGAGCGAAAUGUGCCGGGCUAAUACCCCGGCAAGCUGACGUUACUCAAUGAAGAAGCACCGGCUAACUCUGUGCCAGCCGCCGCGGUAAAAC